GUGGUAUGACGCUACGUCCGUUGGAUUAUGCCUGAACGCCUCUAAGGUCGUAUCCGUGCUGGACUGCAAUGAUAAAUAAGGGGCAAUUUGCAUUGUAUGGCUUCUAAACCAUUAAAAGUUUUUAAUUUGUUUUAUUAACGACAAUGGAUGUGAUGCCAAUGUUAUUUAUAACAUAGUAAAUUGGGAGGAUCUUCGAUCACCUGAUGCCGCGCUAGUUAUAUUUUAAAACAUUAUUUAAUACAAUGUCAAAGCCUAGAAUCAAUUGUAAACGACUUUUGUAACAGGCAAGGUGUUGUAAGUGGUUGAGCAGCUGCCAUACUGCGAUCCACUGAAGCUUAUCCUUUGCUUGAUGAUUCGA
rnacentral:ncRNA from 1 species